GUCCUUUUGAGUUUGAUUUAAGGUCUGGCCUGCCCAAUGAAGUUUUGAAUGGCCGCGGUAUUUUGACCGUGCAAAGGUAGCAUAAUCAUUAGUUUUUUAAUUGAAAGCUGGAAUGAAAGGUUAAAUGAAAAAAUAACUGUCUCUAUUUAAAUUUUUUAGAAUUUUAUUUUUAAGUAAAAAAGCUUAAAUUUUGUUAGAAGACGAGAAGACCCUAUAGAGUUUUAUUAGCUAUUUUUAAUUAGAUUUUUGGUAUUUAAUCUUUUUAGAAAUGGGUUAAUUUAGUUGGGGUGAUUGAAAAAUUUGAUAAACUUUUUCUUUAUUUGAACAUUAAUUUAUGAAUAUUUGAUCCUUUAUUUUAAAGAUUAAAAGAUACAAUUACCUUAGGGAUAACAGCGUAAUUUUCUUAGAGAGUUCAAAUCGAAAAGAAAGAUUGCGACCUCGAUGUUGGAUUAAAAUAAAAUUUUGGUGUAGAAGCUAAAGUAUUUGGGUCUGUUCGACCUUUAAAAUUUUACAUGAUCUGAGUUUAGACCGGCGUGAGCCAGGUUGGUUUCUAUCUCUAUUAAUUUAAGAUAUCUUAGUACGAAAGGACCAGGUAUUUAGUUUAAAGUUUUAUAUAAGAAUAUUAUU
rnacentral:rRNA from 1 species